UUGGUGCACACACAGGCAUUGUUAAAACCAGAUCCUCAAUGUACUCCAGAAAUUAUUGGGAUGGCAUGACGGUGGACAUUGACUGAUGGGUCUCUGAAUGCGACGGAUGUCAGAGGACUGGUAACUCUUUGGCUGUGUGUGACACAGCCAUUACAAAGCAUUAAGGUGUCUGCUGUUUGGGAGUUGGUUGGGAUAGACCUGACUGGGCCUCUCCCAAAAACCAAGGAUGGCUUUCAGUACAUUCUUACUGCCACCGAUUAUUUUUCCAAACACAGAUGCCCCCAAAGAAUCCUGUCCGACCAAGGAAGAGAAUUUGUCAAUUAGCUCAACGAUAACCUUUGUGCCCUCCUGUGCAUUGAAAGGAGUGUUACAGCUGCAUAUCAUCCUUAGACGAAUGGGCUGGAUGAGAGGACAAAUAGCAACA